rnacentral:rRNA from 1 species
GAUGAACGCUGGCGGCGUGCCUAAUACAUGCAAGUCGAGCGAACGGACGAGAAGCUUGCUUCUCUGAUGUUAGAGGCGGACGGGUGAGUAACACGUGGAUAACCUACCUAUAAGACUGGGAUCACUUCGGGAAACCGGAGCUAAUACCGGAUAAUAUUUUGAACCGCAUGGUUCAAAAGUGAAAGACGGUCUUGCUGUCACUUAUAGAUGGAUCCGCGCUGCAUUAGCUAGUUGGUAAGGUAACGGCUUACCAAGGCAACGAUGCAUAGCCGACCUGAGAGGGUGAUCGGCCACACUGGAACUGAGACACGGUCCAGACUCCUACGGGAGGCAGCAGUAGGGAAUCUUCCGCAAUGGGUGAAAGCCUGACGGAGCAACGCCGCGUGAGUGAUGAAGGUCUUCGGAUCGUAAAACUCUGUUAUUAGGGAAGAACAUAUGUGUAAGUAACUGUGCACAUCUUGACGGUACCUAAUCAGAAAGCCACGGCUAACUACGUG